rnacentral:rRNA from 1 species
UGGGGAAUAUUGGACAAUGGGCGAAAGCCUGAUCCAGCCAUGCCGCGUGUGUGAAGAAGGCCUUUUGGUUGUAAAGCACUUUAAGUGGGGAGGAAAAGCUUAUGGUUAAUACCCAUAAGCCCUGACGUUACCCACAGAAUAAGCACCGGCUAACUCUGUGCCAGCAGCCGCGGUAAUACAGAGGGUGCAAGCGUUAAUCGGAAUUACUGGGCGUAAAGCGCGCGUAGGUGGUUAUUUAAGUCAGAUGUGGAAGCCCCGGGCUUAACCUGGGAACUGCAUCUGAUACUGGAUAACUAGAGUAGGUGAGAGGGGAGUAGAAUUCCAGGUGUAGCGGUGAAAUGCGUAGAGAUCUGGAGGAAUACCGAUGGCGAAGGCAGCUCCCUGGCAUCAUACUGACACUGAGGUGCGAAAGCGUGGGUAGCAAACAGGAUUAGAUACCCUUGUAGUCCACGCCGUAAACGAUGCCUACCAGUCGUUGGGUCUUUUAAAGACUUAGUGACGCAGUUAACGCAAUAAGUAGACCGCCUGGGGAGUACGGCCGCAAGGUUA